GACGGAGGGUGCUAGCGUUGUUCGGAUUUACUGGGCGUAAAGCGUACGUAGGCGGUCUAGAAAGUUGGGAGUGAAAUCCCAGGGCUUAACCCUGGAAUUGCUCUCAAUACUACUAGGCUAGAGAAUGGCAGAGGACAGUGGAAUUCCUAGUGUAGAGGUGAAAUUCGUAGAUAUUAGGAGGAACACCAGAGGCGAAAGCGACUGUCUGGGCCAUUUCUGACGCUAAGGUACGAAAGCGUGGGGAGCAAACAGG
rnacentral:rRNA from 1 species